rnacentral:rRNA from 1 species
GGUGUGACGCCUGCCCGGUGCUCGAAGGUUAAGAGGAUGCGUCAGUCGCAAGAUGAAGCGUUGAAUUGAAGCCCGAGUAAACGGCGGCCGUAACUAUAACGGUCCUAAGGUAGCGAAAUUCCUUGUCGGUUAAAUACCGACCUGCAUGAAUGGCGUAACGAGAUGGGAGCUGUCUCAACCAGAGAUUCAGUGAAAUUGUAGUGGAGGUGAAAAUUCCUCCUACCCGCGGCAAGACGGAAAGACCCCGUGGACCUUUACUACAACUUAGCACUGCUAAUGGGAAUAUCAUGCGCAGGAUAGGUGGGAGGCUUUGAAGUAAGGGCUUUGGCUCUUAUGGAGCCAUCCUUGAGAUACCACCCUUGAUGUUUCUGUUUAGCUAACUGGCCUGUUGUUAUCCACAGGCAGGAC